rnacentral:rRNA from 1 species
UACAGAGGGGGCAAGCGUUGUUCGGAAUUACUGGGCGUAAAGGGCGCGUAGGCGGCCUUCUAAGUCGAACGUGAAAUCCCGUGGCUCAACUGUGGGCGGGCAGCUGAUACGGGCAGGCUGGAGUUCGGUAGGGGAGACUGGAAUUCCUGGUGUAGCGGUGAAAUGCGCAGAUAUCAGGAGGAACACCGGUGGCGAAGGCGGGUCUCUGGGCCGAUACUGACGCUGAGGAGCGAAAGCGUGGGGAGCGAACAGG